CGCGCCCGACGAGUGCGCGGCGGCCGGUGACCGGCCCCGACAGGUGCGCCGCGGGUCCCGCGGCGCCGUGUGGAUCAGUCCCGAUCCUUCUCCCGCCUUCCCCGCGCGGGCGGGGCGCCGGCCACCGACGGCCACGUACCACCGCAAUACAAGCCCGCCAUCGAUCCGCUCCCCGCCAUCCCGAAAUCCUCCCGGCGGUUGGCAAGCUCGCGGGCGCGUGGCAGCGGAAGCGUACGAGGUGAGGAAAGCCAGAGCCGGAGCGACGCGCGGAUCGUGAUCACAGCUUGGUGGGGGGCGGAGAUGCUGGCGGUGUUCGACCCGCGGUGGCGCCGAGCCCGGAGGGGCUGCGGCAGCCGGGCGCCGCCGAGGACGGCAGCGCGGCGGGGCUCGCGGACCGGUUCAGGGAGGCGCGCCCCGAAGCUGUCACCGUCAACCUCGGCGGGUUCGGCGCCAUGGCGUACUCCUCCCACGGCCAGAGCCCCCUUCUUCCCAGGUUGUUUGGCGCAGUGGAUGACAUAUUCUGCAUGUUCCAAGGCACAAUUGAGAACGUUGCUGUCCUCAAGCAGCAAUACGGAUUAAGUAAAGGCGCUAAUGAGGUCAACAUCAUCAUUGAGGCAUACAGGACGUUGAGGGACAGGGGUCCUUAUCCAGCUGAUCAAGUUAUGAGAGACAUAAGUGGGAAAUUUGCAUUUGUUCUGUAUGAUUGCUCCACCAAGUCGGUCUUCAUAGCUGCCGAUGCCGAUGGCAACGUUCCAUUCUACUGGGGAGUGGACUCUGAUGGCCGUCUCGUGGUCUCUGACGACGGUGAAAUCGUGAAGAAGGCCUGCGGAAAAUCCUCAGCCCCAUUCCCUAAAGGCUUCUUCUUCACGACGUCCGGAGGGCUGAAGAGCUACGAGCACCCCAUGAACGAGGUGAAGCCGGUGCCGAGGGUGGACAGCAAGGGCGAGGUGUGCGGCACGACGUACACGGUGGACGCCAAGGCCAAGAAGGACGCCAGCAUCCCCAGGGUCGGCAGCGCCGCAGAUUGGUCCUCGCAAUACUAGAAAUUUACUACUAAUUGGUUAGCUAUCUUGUGUGUGGAGCAGCUCAGGUAGCAGGUGUGGAGUUUGUCUGUCCUAGCCCGAUGUUCAUAUGGAAACCGUCAGUCUUGCUCUAGUGUUUGUCUGAAUAAACUGUUCGUUCUGUCACUGUUUACAAAGCAUCCCGAGGUCUCUACUCAGCAGAUGAGCAUGACUCUCUCUAGCUUAGGGUGUGUUUUGUUGGUGAAAAAGUUUGGGUUUGGCUACUGUAGCACA